rnacentral:rRNA from 1 species
UACGUAGGGUGCUAGCGUUAUCCGGAUUUACUGGGCGUAAAGGGUGCGUAGGUGGUCUUUCAAGUCGGUGGUUAAAGGCUACGGCUCAACCGUAUUAAGCCGCCGAAACUAUAAAACUUGAGUAGAUGAGGGGCAAGUGGAAUUCCUAGUGUAGCGGUGAAAUGCUUAGAUAUUAGGAGGAAUACCAGUGGCGAAGGCGACUUGCUGGAAUCUAACUGACGCUGAGGUACGAAAGCGUGGGGAGCAAACAGG